rnacentral:rRNA from 1 species
UUGGAGGGCAAGUCUGGUGCCAGCAGCCGCGGUAAUUCCAGCUCCAAUAGCGUAUAUUAAAGUUGUUGCAGUUAAAAAGCUCGUAGUUGAAUUUCGGGGUCAGUAGAUUGGUCAUGCCACUGGUAUGUACUGGUCUCACUGAUUCCUCCUUCCUGAUGAGCCGUAAUGCCAUUAAUUUGGUGUUGCGAGGAAUCUGGACUGUUACUUUGAAAAAAUUAGAGUGUUUAAAGCAGGCUAACGCUUGAAUACAUUAGCAUGGAAUAAUGAAAUAGGACGUUCGAUCUUAUUUUGUUGGUUUCUAAGAUUGACGUAAUGAUUAAUAGGGAUAGUUGGGGGCAUUAGUAUUCAAUUGUCAGAGGUGAAAUUCUUGGAUUUAUUGAAGACUAACUACUGCGAAAGCAUUUGCCAAGGAUGUUUUCAUUAAUCAAGAACGAAAGUUAGGGGGUCGAAGACGAUCAGAUACCGUCGUAGUCUUAACCAUAAACUAUGCCGACUAGGGAUCGGAUGAUGUUAAUUUUUUAAUGACUCAUUCGGCGCCUUACGGGAAAC